ACUGAAGAUGAUGCUUUCUUGGUCAAGCAAAUUGGCCAGAGUUUCCGGUAUUCUAAAAUAGAGGCAAGAAGGGAGGAACAAAUCCAAGCUACUCAUGACGAAGCCAUGUUUGGUGCUUCAACACUUCCACCUCCUACCAGUACUGAUAGUGAGCCUGAAAGGGAGAAUGAGAAAGAAGUUGAUAAAAAAGCUGUUGUUACAAGCCUCUUAAGUGAAACCGAGUGCUGAAAUGGUGACCACAUACUACUUUGAGGGCA